CGCAGACUAGACCCCAGAUACCCUCCCCUACCUCUCGAUCCCUCUCCAGUGAUGACCACAGACAGUCCGGCGGCCCCUCAGGUCGUCAUUACUGCCGGCGACAAGCACACACACUCCCUCGAACCCUACCACUCCCGUUCUCCUCUCCCUCUCCCUCGCCGUCAACGAUGACGAGGAUUAUUUCCGGCGACCAGUUUCGCCGACGACGGUGGUGGUGUCCCCGACGAGACUUCCGAUGGUUCGUGUUCGCAUUGUUGCGGAUUCGGGUGUUUGGUUCGAGUCAACUUGGUUAAACCGAGUUAACUCGGUUCGGGUCUGGGUCAAACAGUCAAGGCAGUCAACACAAGUCAAAGGCGGUCAACGGGACGGCUCGGGUCAGCUUUGGUAUUCUUGGAGCAACUCGGUUCAGUCAAGUUCGGCUUAUUUUGGUUCGGUCAACAGAAGUCAAACCUGGUCAACUUAGCUUUGGUUUUAGUUGACUCGGUCAAACCAAGUCAACUCGGUCAAACACGGUCAGCCCGAGUCAACUCAAUUGACUCGGUCAACUCAGUUAGCGUUUUCGACAUGAGGAUUUGGGAUAUUGUAGAAUGCACGCAAGCGAGUCAUGUCUUGGAAACGCCAUCACGAAUCGUAUUUAGCUAGCUUUGCAUAAGGAAAUCCAGGUUACUUUCUCAAUUUAUGGCACGGUUGGAAUAGGAGAAC